rnacentral:rRNA from 1 species
GACGGAGGCCCCGAGCGUUGUUCGGAAUCACUGGGCUUAAAGCGCGUGUAGGCGGGUCGGUGCGUACCUUGUGAAAGCCCUCGGCUCAACCGAGGAAUUGCUGGGUAUACGGCCGGUCUUGAGGCAGGUAGAGGCACCUGGAACCUUAGGUGGAGCGGUGAAAUGCGUAGAUAUCUAAGGGAAUGCCUGUGGCGAAAGCGGGGUGCUGGGCCUGUCCUGACGCUGAGACGCGAAAGCGUAUGGAGCAAACGGG